rnacentral:rRNA from 1 species
GAUGAACGCUGGCGGCGUGCCUAAUACAUGCAAGUCGAGCGGUAAGGCUCCUUCGGGAGUACACGAGCGGCGGACGGGUGAGUAAUACGUAGGAACGUACCCCAAAGUGAGGAAUAACCAGCCGAAAGGUUGGCUAAUACCGCAUAUGCUCUACGGAGUAAAGCAGCAAUGCGCUUUGGGAACGGCCUGCGUCCGAUUAGCUAGUUGGUAGGGUAAAGGCUUACCAAGGCGACGAUCGGUAGCUGUUCUGAGAGGAUGAUCAGCCACACUGGAACUGAGACACGGUCCAGACUCCUACGGGAGGCAGCAGUAGGGAACUUUCCACAAUGGGCGAAAGCCUGAUGGAGCAACGCCGCGUGCAGGAUGAAGGCCUUAGGGUUGUAAACUGCUUUUAUCUGUGACGAUUAUGACAGUAGCAGAUGAAUAAGGAUCGGCUAACUCCGUGCCAGCCGCCGCCGUAA